rnacentral:rRNA from 1 species
CGGUUAAUUCCGUCUGUGGUGUCGAUCCAGGCUGUCACUCGGUGGGGUCAGUGCUCUGACAAUUCGGCUUGGUGCACUUCCUUCCUUGUAGAAACGUCGCGACCCGUUGGGUGCCGGUCAAGGCCUGGGAUGGCAGACCACGUGUCCUGAUGUGUGGUUCACAGGCUCGUGGACUCCUGGUGUCCUGGCCGGCUGCUCGACGGUAUGACCAGAGGAGUCGAUCCGCUAAAAUAUGGAAAAUCACAUGGGUGUUAAGCGUCCGGCCCGGCGCCGACACGUGCUAGAUAUGGGUUAAACCAGGGAGGCCCCGUGCUGAGACACGGGCUCUGGUCAAGUGCGUUGUUGGUUGUCGGUGUCCUCGGACUGG